GGUUACUUUUAAGCCAGUCUGACAGCCAUGCCGCGUGAGGAUGAAGGCCCUAUGGGUCGUAAACUUCUUUUAUUAGGGAAGAAAAAACGGGAUGCGUCCUGUACUGACGGUACUUAAUGAAUAAGGAUCGGCUAACUUCGUGCCAGCAGCCGCGGUAAGACGAAGGAUCCAAGCGUUGUCCGGAUUUACUGGGUUUAAAGGGUGCGUAGGCGGAAAAUUAAGUCAGUGGUGAAAGCCCGCAGCUCAACUGUGGAACUGCCAUUGAAACUGGUUUUCUUGAAUGU
rnacentral:rRNA from 1 species